UUUUUUUGAUCAAUGACAUUAGUGUAUAUAUAUUAUAAGAAAAGAAGAAGAAGCAACGACUCAGGAACUUAAAAGAGAAGGAAUAAGUCUUUAUAUCUCAUCUGGAAGAAGAUACCAGCUCGAAGCAUGGAACAGUUGAUGCAAGAAGCUUUUGGGUUGAUAGUUGAUGUACGAAUCAACAUGGGAUAUCUAAUGGAUUUUGCGGAAACGACGGUGAGUUUGGCCCCCUUGACACGUAUGAGGGAGGAAACUAUAGAUACAGCUUUUUCACAUGCAAACUCUAUCCGAGCAUUGGCGUUGAAGGCAGAAGCGUCGCAUUUACAAGUAGACAUUACUAUAUAUCUAGAACAUAUGUUGAGUUUCAUGGUGAACACAGUGAGCAUCGCACCCCUGACCCGUAUGAACGAGUCAACUAUGGUCAGAGCUUUGGAACUUGCAAACUCUAUCCAAGAUAUUCACCUUGAUGACAAUCUUGGUGAUGGUAUGGUUGACAAUUAUUAGUAUUAGAAUUUGGUUGGUUGAGUCUAGAUCAAGUAAACAUGUCUUAUCUGGUGUUGUGUUACCAUAAUAUAUGUCUAUUUCAAAGCUGAAAAUAUAUCAUAUUUGUCACAGAUAUUCGAGCGAUUAACCAAGUGAGAUUAUGUUAAUUUUAGUGAAUUGCAAUCAA